GACGAACGCUGGCGGUGUGCUUAACACAUGCAAGUCGAACGGUAAGGCCCUUUCGGGGGUACACGAGUGGCGAACGGGUGAGUAACACGUGAGUAACCUGCCCUCAUCUCUGGGAUAACAGUCGGAAACGGUUGCUAAUACUGGAUAUGAGCUUGCAAGGCAUCUUGUGGGUUGGAAAGAUUUUUUUUGGUUGGGGAUGGACUCGCGGCCUAUCAGCUUGUUGGUGAGGUAGUGGCUCACCAAGGCUUCGACGGGUAGCCGGCCUGAGAGGGCGACCGGCCACAUUGGGACUGAGAUACGGCCCAAACUCCUACGGGAGGCAGCAAUGGGGAAUAUUGCACAAUGGACGGAAGUCUGAUGCAGCACCGCCGCGUGCGGGAUGACGGCCUUCGGGUUGUAAACCGCUUUCAAUUGUGACGAAGCUUUUUUGUGACGGUAGCAGUAGAAGAAGCACCGGCUAACUACGUG
rnacentral:rRNA from 1 species